rnacentral:rRNA from 1 species
AGACCCGAAACCCGGUGAUCUAGCCAUGGGCAGGUUGAAGGUUGGGUAACACUAACUGGAGGACCGAACCGACUAAUGUUGAAAAAUUAGCGGAUGACCUGUGGCUGGGGGUGAAAGGCCAAUCAAACCGGGAGAUAGCUGGUUCUCCCCGAAAGCUAUUUAGGUAGCGCCUCGUGAAUUCAUCUCCGGGGGUAGAGCACUGUUUCGGCUAGGGGGCCAUCCCGGCUUACCAACCCGAUGCAAACUGCGAAUACCGGAGAAUGUUAUCACGGGAGACACACGGCGGGUGCUAACGUCCGUCGUGAAGAGGGAAACAACCCAGACCGCCAGCUAAGGUCCCAAAGUCAUGGUUAAGUGGGAAACGAUGUGGGAAGGCCCAGACAGCCAGGAUGUUGGCUUAGAAGCAGCCAUCAUUUAAAGAAAGCGUAAUAGCUCACUGGUCGAGUCGGCCUGCGCGGAAGAUGUAACGGGGCUAAACCAUGCACCGAAGCUGCGGCAGCGACGCUGAUGCGUUGUUGGGUAGGGGAGCGUUCUGUAAGCCUGCGAAGGUGGCCUGUGAGGGUUGCUGGAGGUAUCAGAAGUGCGAAUGCUGACAUAAGUAACGAUAAAGCGGGUGAAAAGCCCGCUCGCCGGAAGACCAAGGGUUCCUGUCCAACGUUAAUCGGGGCAGGGUGAGUCGACCCCUAAGGCGAGGCCGAAAGGCGUAGUCGAUGGGAA